CCUACGGGUGGCAGCAGUGGGGAAUAUUGGACAAUGGGCGAAAGCCUGAUCCAGCCAUGCCGCGUGUGUGAAGAAGGCCUUCGGGUUGUAAAGCACUUUCAGUGGGGAAGAAAGCCUUGGGGCUAAUACCCUCGAGGAAGGACAUCACCCACAGAAGAAGCACCGGCUAACUCCGUGCCAGCAGCCGCGGUAAUACGGAGGGUGCGAGCGUUAAUCGGAAUUACUGGGCGUAAAGCGCGCGUAGGCGGUCUGAUAAGCCGGUUGUGAAAGCCCCGGGCUCAACCUGGGAACGGCAUCCGGAACUGUCAGGCUAGAGUGCAGGAGAGGAAGGUAGAAUUCCCGGAGUAGCGGUGAAAUGCGUAGAGAUCGGGAGGAAUACCAGUGGCGAAGGCGGCCUUCUGGACUGACACUGACGCUGAGGUGCGAAAGCGUGGGUAGCAAACAGGAUUAGAUACCCGGUAGUC
rnacentral:rRNA from 1 species